rnacentral:rRNA from 1 species
GACGAACCGUACGAACGUUAUUCGGAAUCACUGGGCUUAAAGGGUGCGUAGGCUGCGCGGAAAGUUGGGUGUGAAAGCCCUGGGCUCAACCCAGGAAGUGCACUCGAAACUGGCGGGCUAGAGUAUCGGAGAGGUUGGUGGAAUUCUCGGUGUAGAGGUGAAAUUCGUAGAUAUCGAGAGGAACACCGGUGGCGAAGGCGGCCAACUGGACGAAUACUGACGCUGAGACACGAAAGCGUGGGGAGCAAACAGG